AGAAGUGAGCUUGAACAGCUCAUCUCAAAGGACUGGCUAACCAACUAUGAGAGGCUUCACGCCAUCUCUCAGCCAAUCCAGAUUACAGAAUCUUCUUUAAGAAGAAAUGCUGAUGGCAUGGUGCAAACCACUUUCCAACCACCUCGGCACUCCACAAGAUCCUCACCUGUGUUUCAGACCAUGAUGGUCUAGCUAUUAGAAAAGGAAUAAGAAGAUUUCCCUAUUAGAGCAGUAACUCCAGAAAACCAUUAUGUCUAUCCAAUGAAGAUAGAUGGUCAUUGCCCUUGGGAUCUCCCAGGAUCUAGCAUGUGUGACCCAGACUGUGACUGCUGCGACAACUACUGGGAAAAUGAAUACGACCAUCCCCUAUCUGACAAAAAUUAGAAAAAGCUCACUAAGAAGUCUAGGACUUCUUGCAAAUCUCCUUAAGUCCUUAGAAGGGAUUAUCUUGACAAUAGUCCAUGGAUAGGCAUCCAUGAAGAGACUAAACAAAAGAGGCCCCUUCCAAUAUGAGCUUGCUUUAGAAAUCAUCAGAAACAAAGAAGGACGGAAACAGUCUUCUCCUAUUCCUUCUCUUACUCCUCCUGCACUACCAUUAAUGCAGCCUUGCAUGAUGUUCUCUCCUGCCUCUUAU
rnacentral:misc_RNA from 1 species